rnacentral:rRNA from 1 species
GAUGAACGCUGGCGGCGUGCUUAACACAUGCAAGUCGAACGAAGCACUUUAAUCGAUUUCUUCGGAUUGAAAUUUUAGUGACUGAGUGGCGGACGGGUGAGUAACGCGUGGGUAACCUGCCUCACACAGGGGGAUAACAGUUGGAAACGGCUGCUAAUACCGCAUAAGCGCACAGUACCGCAUGGUACAGUGUGAAAAACUCCGGUGGUGUGAGAUGGACCCGCGUCUGAUUAGCUAGUUGGCAGGGCAACGGCCUACCAAGGCGACGAUCAGUAGCCGACCUGAGAGGGUGACCGGCCACAUUGGGACUGAGACACGGCCCAAACUCCUACGGGAGGCAGCAGUGGGGAAUAUUGCACAAUGGGGGAAACCCUGAUGCAGCGACGCCGCGUGAGCGAAGAAGUAUUUCGGUAUGUAAAGCUCUAUCAGCAGGGAAGAAGAAAUGACG